CCUACGGGAGGCAGCAGUGGGGAAUCUUGCGCAAUGGGCGAAAGCCUGACGCAGCAACGCCGCGUGCGGGAUGAAGGCCUUCGGGUUGUAAACCGCUUUCAGCAGGGAAGAAAUUGACGGUACCUGCAGAAGAAGCCCCGGCCAACUACGUGCCAGCAGCCGCGGUAACACGUAGGGGGCGAGCGUUGUCCGGAUUUAUUGGGCGUAAAGAGCUCGUAGGCGGUUCGGUAAGUCGGGUGUGAAACCUCCAGGCUCAACCUGGAGACGCCACCUGAAACUGCUGUGACUAGAGUCCGGUAGGGGAGUGUGGAACUCCUGGUGUAGCGGUGAAAUGCGCAGAUAUCAGGAAGAACACCAGCGGCGAAGGCGGCACUCUGGGCCGGUACUGACGCUGAGGAGCGAAAGCGUGGGUAGCAAACAGGAUUAGAUACCCUGGUAGUCCACGCCGUAAACGUUGGGCACUAGGUGUGGGUCUCAACCAACGAGAUCCGUGCCGCAGCUACGACAUAAGUCGCCCGCCGUCGGGUAGGUACGGCCGCGACGGACGUAAACCUACAAUAGAAGUUAGACGGCGUGAGACGUGCCGACGGACGACGACGAGGGAGGUAGG
rnacentral:rRNA from 1 species